CGGUUGCGUAUUUCCCGGCAACGGUCCACGGUUCGCAUUGCCGCCGUUUGUAGGGCCCCGGAUCAAUUGCAGAAACAGUGCACCCGCCAAGACUAUAGCAGCCGUUAGAGCGAUGAUUUGCAGUGNNNNNNNNCUUUCCGAGUCGGCGCGGGCGAACCACGUACUCAUAAAGCAGGUAAGUCGCCGCUCCAACAAACAGGGCGAUUCCCAACCAGAACAGAGACUCCCAAAUCCAAGUAGGUGCUUUCGGAAAUACCUGCGGUCCUGCCAUGGUGGUUAUGCCCA
rnacentral:misc_RNA from 1 species